rnacentral:ncRNA from 2 species
CGAGCGGUACGCGACUGGCGAUAGGUUGUGCACCGCCGCAAACGGCAGCGCAGCCGACGUGGAGAGCCACCACGGGGGAGCGUGCCGCGCCGGAAGCCGAUUUCCGCCGCGAUCCGUCGUUCGCCUGGGCAGCCCUU